GCCUGGUUAGCUCAAUCGGUAGAGCGUGAGACUCUUAGUACAAGAGGAUUUCACCAUCUCAAGGCUGCGGGUUCGACCCCCGCAUCGGGCU
rnacentral:tRNA from 1 species